CACGUAGGCGGCCUACCAAGCGCUUUGUGAAAUCCCCCGCCUCAAUCGGGGAAUUGCUUGGCGAACUGGUAGGCUUGAGGUAGGCAGGGGUGAGUGGAACUCUUGGUGGAGCGGUGGAAUGCGUAGAUAUCAAGAGGAACGCCGAUGGUGAAGACAACUCACUGGGCCUGUCCUGACGCUGAGGUGCGAAAGCCAGGGGAGCGAACAGGAUUAGAUACCCUGGUAGUCC
rnacentral:rRNA from 1 species